rnacentral:tRNA from 1 species
UCCGGGGUAGCUCAGUUGGUGGAGCGGUGCGCUGUUAACGCACAGGUCGCAGGUUCGAAUCCUGCCCCCGGAGCCA